CUUUAAAAAUCUGGAUCAAGCUGAAAAUUGAAACGACACACAGCGAAUGUGUGUUCGAGUCUCUCAAAUUUUCGCAACACGAUGGUGUUUUACGAAACAUCUUCGG
rnacentral:sRNA from 1 species